rnacentral:rRNA from 1 species
AUUGAACGCUGGCGGCAUGCCUUACACAUGCAAGUCGAACGGCAGCACGGGAGCUUGCUCCUGGUGGCGAGUGGCGAACGGGUGAGUAAUGCAUCGGAACGUGCCCUGAAGUGGGGGAUAACGUAGCGAAAGUUACGCUAAUACCGCAUGUUCUGUGAGCAGGAAAGCAGGGGAUCUUCGGACCUUGCGCUUUUGGAGCGGCCGAUGUCGGAUUAGCUAGUUGGUGGGGUAAAGGCCCACCAAGGCGACGAUCCGUAGCGGGUCUGAGAGGAUGAUCCGCCACACUGGAACUGAGACACGGUCCAGACCUCCGUAC